AUUGAACGCUGGCGGUAUGCUUAACACAUGCAAGUCGAACGGUAACAGGCCUUCGGGCGCUGACGAGUGGCGGACGGGUGCGUAACGCGUAGGAAUCUGCCUGUUAGUGGGGGACAACGUGGGGAAACUCACGCUAAUACCGCAUACGCCCUACGGGGGAAAGCGGGGGACCUUCGGGCCUCGCGCUAACAGAUGAGCCUGCGUGGCUUAGCUAGUUGGUAGGGUAAAGGCCUACCAAGGCGACGAUCCCUCGCGGGUCGGAGAGGACGAUCAGCACCACUGGAACGGAGACACGGCCCGGACUCCUACGGGAGGCAGCAGUGGGGAAUAUUGGACAAUGGGCGCAAGCCUGUUCCAGCAAUACCGGGUGUGGGAAGAAGGCCUGGGGGUUGUAAAGCACUUUUAAUCGGGAGGAAUAGCUGUCAGCGAAUACCUGGCAGUCUGACAUUACCGAUAGAAAAAGCACCGGCUAACUCCGUGCCAGCCGCCGCCGUAACAC
rnacentral:rRNA from 1 species